UCGUUCUUUGCCUAGCUACUAGAAUGCCUGUGCAGAUAAUGCUAGGAAGACUGGAGCUGCGGACCACGGUGAUAACAGAAAUAACUCAGUGCCAGCAAGCAGGAGUGAAGUGCAUUUCAGACCCCAGACUUAGAAAUUCUCUCCUUUAGCUUCCUCCCUUCCUCACUACCUUUGCUUCUGUGGCUGGGUGGACUCAGCUUUACUCAUGGACCCGAAUAAAGCUUUUCAGAGUCUACUUAUGUUCCCAGACGCAGCCACCAGGGGGCAGUGGAGCUCACUGCAGCACCAGGAGCAGCCUUUAGUUGAAACUUCCGAGGCAGGGGAACCAUUCUUUGAGUCCCCAGACUUCUCUCAGAAUGGGAGGCUUGUGCCUUGGUUUCAGGUCAGCCAGUUUCCAUAAUCCCCUAGAAACCACACAGCCUCUACAAGCUUAACAGCGCUGCUGUGCUCUGCAUUUUCACGUGUUGGGUUGGCAUGGGCAGCCCAGAGAGGUUGAAUCACCGAACUGAAACCACACAGCUAUGAAAGUGACAUAGCUCUCGACAGGGUUAUGUAAUCUCAUGGAACCUUCUUAAUGCUUCAUCUCAAGUAGCCCCGUUCUCCCUUGGGAAGGAUGCUCCAUUCCUGAUCCCUACCCUCACCUUUGUCAGAAUCUCUUGGGGGAAAGACAUUCAUGCUUGGAAUUUGACGGCUUGAAGAAGCUCUCAGGUGAUUCUGCAAAUAUUUACCAAGUGAACAGGAAUGCCGUUCUGAUGGGAAAACCUGACCUGAGUCAUCUCAUGACGUGCAUUUCCUUUUGUCUCCCUUUACUACCUGCUGCCUCCUGGAUUCGGCAAAAAUUGCAGCUUCCAAACCACUCUGG
rnacentral:lncRNA from 1 species